rnacentral:tRNA from 1 species
AGAAAUUUAAGUUAAAUUAGACCAAGGACCUUCAAAGCCCUUAGUAAGUAAAUUACUUAAUUUCUG